UACAGAGGUGGCAAGCGUUGUUCGGAAUUACUGGGCGUAAAGGGCGCGUAGGUGGCGACCCAAGUCGAUGGUGAAAGCUCGCCGCUCAACGGCGAGUCGGCCACCGAUACUGGGUUGCUGGAGCACUGUAGAGGCUCAUGGAAUUCCGGGUGUAGCGGUGGAAUGCGUAGAGAUCCGGAAGAACACCGGUGGCGAAGGCGGUGAGCUGGGCAGUUGCUGACACUGAGGCGCGACAGCGUGGGGAGCAAACAGG
rnacentral:rRNA from 1 species